rnacentral:rRNA from 1 species
UACGGAGGGUGCAAGCGUUAUCCGGAUUUACUGGGUUUAAAGGGUGUGUAGGCGGGCAUUUAAGUCUGGGGUGAAAUCUCCGAGCUCAACUCGGAAACUGCCUUGGAUACUAUUUGUCUUGAAUUAUGUUGAGGUUGGCGGAAUAUAACAUGUAGCGGUGAAAUGCAUAGAUAUGUUAUAGAACACCGAUUGCGAAGGCAGCUAACUAAGCAUAUAUUGACGCUGAGGCACGAAGGCGUGGGGAUCAAACAGG